CGGUGCUUGCUGCUGGGGAUGGCGGCUUGCUCGGCCGGGCGACUAGUUCUGGCCUGGUCAGUCGGCGGCCGACAUCCUGUCUGGGGCGGCGUCCCACAGACGGUAAACGUACCUUCUGUGUGACUUCAACCCUCCAGAGGGCUUCAACCUCCGUAGGAACGUCUGCAUCCACAUUGCCUUCCUCCUGAAGAUCCUGCUGAAGAUGGAGGAGCCGGUACUGGUGCUAUUCCCUUGGGGCCACCUCUACCACUGGCAGAGCCCCGAUCCCUGGUCCGACUCCUCUGACCUCCCAAGUCUCAACAGAAACAUCCCUGACAUUGACUACGAGCAGUUCAUUGCAGGCCUCUGAAUCCUCAGUCCAGGGAAGCUAAACCAUUCUAGCCUUCAUCGGUUCUGGGAAAGCAAUCUUCAGAGUGGGAAAAGACAUUGAAAAUAAUAUUCUGUGAGUUGCAUUCUACCCUUGCCCAGAGAUGAGAAACAUCUGAAGGUGGAGGAAAAAAGUUGGAGGUGGGGAACACAAAGUCUUUUCUCUUUUUGCUACUGAAGAAAUGAUUGCUUUUGUAAUUAGUGAUGAUGCCCUUUAAAUUGGUGACAUCGAGAUUCCACAGCUUCAGCGCCUGUGAAUAACCAGCUGGGAGAAAGCUCUCUAGGGACCCUGCAGUGGGAAAGGCAGCCCCUCUGAGCACCUGUUGUUCUGUAUUCUUCCUGCCUCCACACAGGUUCGCUAGGCACUGUGCAGGACGAUGCAGUUACCCACGGUGGAGGACGGGGAGACGCCUGCUGUGUGGCGAGCCACAGAAGCCCACACUUGAAGGACAAAAUGGUUCACUUGGUGAUAAUAAUCGUAACCAAAGCAACAGCAAACCCUUACAGAACUCUGUCCUGCUGUUCCAGGAAUGCUGUGUUCAUGACAACCCAAUGAGUUGGCACCACUAUGAGUUCCACUUUAAAGGUAAGGACAUUCAUUAAUCACACGGCUAAUAAAUGGCAGAGCUGGGACUUGAACCCGAGCUCUCUGGCCCCAGAGACCCCUCUCAGCCCCUUCACUGCAGCUCAUCACUUGGCAUGCCCGACACAGGCCAGCAUUUACGAGCAGCGUGACCUUGGCCAAGGCUGCUUCACUGCUUGGUCUCUGAUUCCUCAUCUGUAGAAUGGGGGUGUGGGCAGUGAACUCUGUGAGCUCAGUGGUCACUUCCUCCAGCUCUGCAAUUCUACUGCUUUGAGUUAGUAUAGUAAGUAUCCGAGCCCCUACUUGGCCCACACAUGGGCUGGCGCUUUGCUAGGCCCUGGGUUACGGAGCAAAGUGAGAUCCGCCUGCUCCUCCGAGGAGCCUGUGUCCCUCCACGGCAAACAGCUGCGAGGCCCAGGCUCCCUCGCUGGCGGUCGGGGGCUGGGCAGGAAAGUCUGAUAAGAGAAGAUGGAGGCAGAGCCCCUCCGGGAACAGUGGUGGCCACACAGCUCUCAGGAGCGAGAGCCUCUGUCCAGGCUGCUGAGAGGGGGGUCCUCAUGAGGCCAGUAGUCCCCCCAACCUAAGCCCUCAGGACAAAGAUCCAGCCAUCCCUGCAGUGUCACCAUAGAGCCAGUCCAUCCUCAUCACUGUGCCUCUGUGCUCCUUUGUCCUGGGGCCUCUCUUCCCCCUACACCCAGAAGACUCUUCUCCCUCUCUUCUCUGAGUGCCCCCUCACUUCACCCGUGGUCCCUGCUUCCUGGGCCACCAUCUCUGGAGUUGACGCUUUGCACCUUCACACCCCCCGUUUGACAAGGAGCCUGGGUUGGCCUCCUUGUGCUCACUUUCCACCUUCAGAUGAUUGCUCCUCCCCUCGUGGGAGCACAUGGAAAACCCAGAUCCUUUCCUAGCAGUGCCUGCCACCCUGGCCUCCCUGCUCAUCUGCCUCAGUCAGGAGCACCUGGACCACCAGCUCUGUAUUGCCUCGCCUCCUACCAUCAAGACGUCAAAGUUCAUUCUCCUUCUACCACCCAGUAUGGUCAUUCUAGGGUCUUCUUCUCCGUCAGCCUGAGCCAGCCACCCCCCAUUCACCCUACCCCCGGGCUCAUACCCGGGCGUGUCUCCACCCCAGGUCCAGCCUCUCUCCUUUAAGUGCCCACCUCUAGCCAUCCAGCUGCUUCUCCACCAGCCUCCCUGGCCCUCCUUCACCCUCACUGGGGCAUCAUGCACUGACUCCUCUGCUUUCCUGCCUGUCCACGUUCCUCUUACUUCCACUUCCCCACCUUCCAGCUCUGCAUCCACAGUCAGCACUCUCUUUAUGACAGACAAAACCCCCUUGAGCCUUGACCUUUUCAGUUCCUCACCAGGCCGACUUCCAUCUCGGUUCACCCAGCUCUACUUGUUCUGAGCCUGCAGGCAGCAGGCUCUCCCAGCACAGAUUUCCAAGGCUACAAAUCAAUGCCCACCUUGUUGCCGCUGCCAGGCAAUCCUCCAGGACUUCACUAGUGAGCACAUUUCCCCACUUAUCACUCAGUGGCGUCAACAUUCUCUGCUCUCUGCACACCUCUAACCUUCCCUCUGUCUCUUCCCUGACUCCCGGCAGAUGGCCUUGCCUCCUGCUUCAGAGAGAAUGACAUGUCACUGGAAAGGAACUCGCUCACAUGCAGCAAAUCUGCUCACCUCACCUUUUAUCUGUCCCUCUCCCACCUGGACUCUAGCUGUAGUUGUUCUUAAUUCAGUGAGUUUAGUUGACAUAUAUAUACACAGUUAAAAGCAUAGCACACUAUCGGCUACCUUCUAGGGCUUACUUUUUCAAUUUAACAUGGAGUGUGUGAUUCAUCCACUUCAUUGCAUGUAUCUGCAGUUCAUUAGUUUUAACUGAUCUUAAAUGUUGUGUGUGUGAAAGUAACACAAGGCAAGGGUAAGCCAGGAUUCAGGAUGCUGGUUACUUCCUGUGAGAAGAGGCCAAGAGCAGGAUAGGGAAAGAGGACACAGUAUGUCACUGUCAAUAUUCCUGUUAAGAUGCUGGGUGAUAGGUUCAUAACUGUGUCUUAUAAUAUUAAUUUUAAUACAUAAAUACCUCUGACAGGCACCUAAGAUGAGAAUGUGUCAUGAACCAAGACAUACAAUGGGUAAUAUUACAUCAUUAUUGUUAUGUAAUCUUGUUAUAUUAUAUAUUAAUCAUAAUCUUACAUUAUUUGUUAUGGGUUAUAUAUUAUAUAGGUGCAUGAAUUAGAUAUUAUGUAUAUAAACACCUACAUAUGUAUUAUAUACUAUCUGCUAAUAAAUAAACAGAAGAUAAUAUGCUAGUA